GAAUACUUAAAGUUUUCUUUCUUUCCCGGUGUUGGUCAGUAAUCAGUAUUGUGAUUUAAUUUAACUGAAAUAAAAGUGCAAACUAUUAUGUUACCAAACAAUUCAUUUUAUUUUGAAGUCUGAGUGAGCCUGUGUAACUACAGCCAUAAGGGAUAUAACAUCUCAGUCAUCGGUGGUGCAUGUGAUAUUACCACGGGUUGCUGUGCAGACUACCGCAGAGGGUGGCAUGUAACAUAUCUACACCCUGGCUGAUUGACUUCAAAUGUUAAGAGAACAAAGCCAUGAUGGAAUUUGGAAAUCUUGGCAGUCGUGAUAUCUGUCCAGUGAAAACAUCAAGUAUUGAAGGAAAGCUUCACUGCGAGAGUGCUGUUUGUGAUGUUGAGUUGAGUUCAAUAAAGUUAUAAGUAUAAAUUAAAUGAUUAGGUAACGUCACUGCUA